rnacentral:rRNA from 1 species
GUGGGGAAUCUUGCGCAAUGGGCGAAAGCCUGACGCAGCCAUGCCGCGUGAAUGAUGAAGGUCUUAGGAUUGUAAAAUUCUUUCACCGGGGACGAUAAUGACGGUACCCGGAGAAGAAGCUCCGGCUAACUUCGUGCCAGCAGCCGCGGUAAUACGAAGGGGGCUAGCGUUGCUCGGAAUUACUGGGCGUAAAGGGCGCGUAGGCGGACAGCUUAGUCAGAGGUGAAAGCCCAGGGAUCAACCUUGGAAUUGCCUUUGAUACUGGCUGUCUUGAGUUUGGGAGAGGUGAGUGGAACUCCGAGUGUAGAGGUGAAAUUCGUAGAUAUUCGGAAGAACACCAGUGGAGAAGGCGACUCACUGGCCCAAUACUGACGCUGCGGCGCGAAAGCGUGGGGAGCAAACAGGAUUAGAUACCCGAGUAGUCC